rnacentral:rRNA from 1 species
UACGAAGGGGGCUAGCGUUGCUCGGAAUGACUGGGCGUAAAGGGCGCGUAGGCGGUUCGUACAGUCAGACGUGAAAUUCCCGGGCUCAACCUGGGGGCUGCGUUUGAUACGUACGGGCUUGAGUUCGGAAGAGGGUCGUGGAAUUCCCAGUGUAGAGGUGAAAUUCGUAGAUAUUGGGAAGAACACCGGUGGCGAAGGCGGCGACCUGGUCCGAUACUGACGCUGAGGCGCGAAAGCUAGGGGAGCAAACAGG